rnacentral:lncRNA from 1 species
GCAGACUUUCUGUUGGAGGAACAGUUAGACAAGACAUGGCGAGCAGGGGCGGAGGGGCACAAAGAAUCGCUAAUUUAGUUGAAGGGGUAGAGGACCCCAUCAGGACCAAGGUGUACUAGAUAUCCAGGGGGACUGUGAGACACUGCGGGGAAUAAAGGACCUUGGUCCAGAAGCCUCCUUGGUGAUGGUGGACAAAGUGUGAGUGCCGGAGGGGGCACGUGAUCCAGUGAGAGGUCUCAGGGAAGGUGUUCCCUGGCCCUUUCCAGCUUGUGAGGAUCCUCUGCAUUCCUGGCUUUUGGAGCCCUGCUUUCUGCCUUCAGAGCCCCAGUGCUGCAUCUCGCUGAGCAGCUGUCAGAAGCCACAUCUUUCUCUGCCUACAGUCAGAAAUGCUUCUCCAGAUGGGGUUCACCCAGAUGAUCCAAGGGGCAGAGAGCAUACCGGGAAUGGCACCUCUCCCCCAACGAGGCCACAUCUCCUAAUCCUUCCUAAAGAGUGCCACCACCAGCAGACCAAGUAUUAAAAUAUGCUAGCCUGGGACAGGCCUCCAUCCUGUCACUCUCAUUCAAACCACUCGGCUUCCUGAGCGCAGGUGGGAUCACCAUGCACGGUUUCAGUUCUUUGGAGGAAUCUCCCUGAAACCGGGACUGCUGCAUCACACGAGACCUCUGCACCAUGGGAGUGAGCUGGCGGAGGGAGGGAAUGGACAGGCUGAAAAGCAAGAGAAGUUUGGGAGAGGCCCAAGAAAGCCAGCCUGUGUACCCUGGAGGCCGGGGAUGCUGGCUGACUUCCUACAAGCUAUUGCUGACAACAUCUUCCAACGGAUGCCUCACCUCCACCACUAUCCAGCCACCAAGACCACCUCUGAGAGCCCCACCUGGCUCAUAACUAAAACAGUUCCUGUUGGUCCUCUGCCCUGGACCUGUGGCAUUCUGGACUAGCUCUGUCUUCAGUUGCAGCCACGUGUAGUGUGUGAACAAUAAAUCAUGCCCUCUGCUAUCCCAGACAAAGAAGCAAAAAAACAUUUCAAAAAAUCAUAAUGUGGAUGAUAAGUGUUUCAGACAAUGAAUACAUGAUUAAAACAAAACAGAGAGAGACCCUUCGGUGAAGUAGAAGGAAACAACUCAGGAAGGAAUUUGGAAUACUAGGAACUG